rnacentral:rRNA from 1 species
UGUAAAACUCGGGACCUCUUCAGUGUUGAAGAAAGAAGCAUCAUGGUUUUCUGUGAUGCAUUUGCUUGUUUGGUGCUUGGGGAUGUUUGAGGCAGAUUUGUAACCGCCGUUUUGAGGCCAGCUUGCUGGUACCCAAACAGCGUUAGCUUCUUUUGUCUUGGACAUUUGAGUAUGGUUUACGGGCAUUUAUUGGUUCGAUCUGAUUGUAAGUUACGGUCGCAUGCGACACGUGCUUUUCAUUUAGAUCGGUCCAGUUAAUGCUCUCGUACUCGCUCCCCAUGUAAAAGCCGGUCAUCUAUCCGACCCGUCUUGAAACACGGACCAAGGAGUUUAUCGUGUGCGCAAGUUUUUGGGUGUUAAAAACCUAAAAGCGAAAUGAAAGUAAAUGGCUCUUUAGAGUCUGACGUGCGAUCUUGUAAAAAAGGGCAGCAUGGCCCCAUUCUAACUGUUUACAGUAGGGUGGAGGAAGAGCGUACGCGGUGAGACCCGAAAGAUGGUGAACUAUUCCUGAGCAGGACGAAGCCAGAGGAAACUCGUCCGAAGCGGUUCUGACGUGCAAAUCGAUCGUCUGACUUGGGUAUAGGGGCGAAAGACUAAUCGAACCAUCAGCGGA